AGAGUUUGAUCCUGGCUCAGAGCGAACGCUGGCGGCGUGCCUAACACAUGCAAGUCGAACGUGAAAGGGAGCAAUCCUGAGUAAAGUGGCGUACGGGUGAGUAACACGUAGGUAAUCUACCCCAGAGUCUGGAAUAACCGGUCGAAAGGCUGGCUAAUACUGGAUAGAGCGACGAAACUCGUAAUUGGGUUUUUCGGGAA
rnacentral:rRNA from 1 species